rnacentral:rRNA from 1 species
GUAGGUGGCAAGCGUUGUCCGGAAUUAUUGGGCGUAAAGCGAGCGCAGGGCGGUCCUUUAAGUCUGAUGUGAAAGCCCACGGCUCAACCGUGGAGGGUCAUUGGAAACUGGGGGACUUGAGUACAGAAGAGGAAAGCGGAAUUCCAAGUGUAGCGGUGAAAUGCGUAGAGAUUUGGAGGAACACCUGUGGCGAAGGCGGCUUUCUGGUCUGUAACUGACGCUGAGGCGCGAAAGCGUGGGGAGCAAACAGGAUUAGAUACCCUGGUAGUCCACGCCGUAAACGAUGAGUGCUAAGUGUUAGGGGGUUUCCGCCCCUUAGUGCUGCAGCUAACGCAUUAAGCACUCCGCCUGGGGAGUACGGCCGCAAGGCUG